UACAGAGGGGGCAAGCGUUGUUCGGAAUUACUGGGCGUAAAGGGCGCGUAGGCGGCCUGUUAAGUCGGACGUGAAAUCCCUCGGCUCAACCGGGGAACUGCGUCUGAUACUGGCGGGCUUGAAUUCGGGAGAGGGAUGUGGAAUUCCAGGUGUAGCGGUGAAAUGCGUAGAUAUCUGGAGGAGCACCGGUGGCGAAGGCGGCAUCCUGGACCGACAUUGACGCUGAGGCGCGAAAGCCAGGGGAGCAAACGGG
rnacentral:rRNA from 1 species